ensembl:lncRNA
GGGAUCAGUGGGAUGGAUGGGAUCAUCAGCGGCAUCCAUGGGAUCAGAGGUAUUGCUGGGAUGGAUGGGAUCAUCACUGGGGUCAUGGGAACAUCAGUGGCAUCCAUGGGAUCAGUGGGAUUGAUGGGAUGGAUGGGAUCAUCAGAGGCAUCCAUGGGAUCAGUGGGAUCAGUGGGAUGGAUGGGAUCAUCACUGGGGUCAUGGGAUCAGUGGGAUUUCUGGGAUGGAUGGGAUCAUCACUGGGAUCCAUGGGAUCAGUGGCAUCGUUGGGAAGGGUGGGAUCAUCAGUGGGGUCAUGGGAUGAAUGGUUGACAUGGGUGAGGUCACUGGUGGCAUCAGUGGGAUCAGUGGGAUCGCUGGGAUGGAUGGGAUCAUUGGUGGGAUGGAUGGGAUCAUCAGUUGGGAUGGGUGGGAUCAUCAGUGGGGCCAUGGGAUCAGUGGGAUUGCUGGUGUGGAUGGGAGCAUCACUGGGAUCCAUGGGAUCAGUGGGAUCGUUGGGAUGGAUGGGAUCAUCAGUGGGGUCAUGGGAUCGAUGGGUGACAUGGGUGGGAUCAAUGGUGGGAUCAAUGGGAUGGAUGGGAUCAUUGGGGUCAUGGGUUCAAUGGGUGAUAUGGGUGGGAUCAUGGCUGGGAUCAUCAGCGGCAUCCAUGGGAUCUGUGGGAUCACUGGGAUGGAUGGGAUGAUCAGUGAGGUCAUGGGAUCAGUGUGAUUGCUGGUGUGGAUGGGAUAAUCACUGGGAUCCAUGGGGUCAAUGGGAUCGUUGGGAUGGAUGCGAUCAUUGUUGGGGUCAUGGGAUCGAUGGGUGACAUGGGUGGGAUCAUGGAUGGGAUCAUCAGCGGCAUCCAUGGGAUCAGUGGGAUCAGUGGGAUGGAUGGGAUCCUCACUGGGGUCAUGGGAUCAGUGGGAUCAGUGGGAUGGAUGGGAUCAUCAGUGAGGUCAUGGGAUCAGUGGGAUCGCUGGGAUGGGUGGGAUCAUUGGUGGGGUCAUGGGAUCGAUGGGUGACAUGGGUGCGGUCAUGGAUGGGAUCAUCACUGGCAUGCAUGGGAUCAGUGGGAUCAGUGGGAUGGAUGGGAUCAUUGGUGGGGUCAUGGGAACAUCAGUGGCAUCCAUGGGAUCAGUGGGAUCAGUGGGAUGGAUGGGAUGAUCAGCGGCAUCCAUGGGAUCAGUGGGAUCACUGGGAUGGAUGGGAUCAUCACUGGGAUCCAUGGGAUCAGUGGGAUCGUUGGGAUAGGUGGGAUCAUCAAGUGGGGUCAUGAGAUCAGUGGGAUUGCUGGGAUGGAUGGGAUCAUGCAGUGGGGUCAUGGGAUCGGUGGAUGACAUGGGUGGGGUCACCAAUGGGAUCAUCGGUGACAUCAGUGGGAUCAAUAGGAUCACUGCAGUGGAUGGGAACAUCAGUGGGUUGGGUGGGAUCAUCAGUGGGGUCAUGGGAUGGAUGGAUGACAUGGGUGGGGUCACUGGUGGCAUCAGUGGGAUCAGUGGGAUCGCUGGCAUGGAUGGGAUCAUUGGUGGGGUCAUGGGGUCGAUGGGUGACAUGGGUGGGUGGGGUCAUGGGAUCAUCAGCAGCAUCCAUGGGAUCAGUGGGAUCAGUGGGAUGGAUGGGAUCAUCAGCGGCAUCCAUGGGAUCAGAGGUAUUGCUGGGAUGGAUGGGAUCAUCAGUGGGGUCAUGGGAACAUCAGUGGCAUCCAUGGGAUCAGUGGGAUUGAUGGGAUGGAUGGGAUCAUCAGAGGCAUCCAUGGGAUCAGUGGGAUCGUUGGGAUAGGUGGGAUCAUCAAUGGCAUCCAUGGGAUCAGUGGGAUUGAUGGGAUGGAUGGGAUCAUCAGAGGCAUCCAUGGGAUCAGUGGGAUCAGUGGGAUGGAUGGGAUCAUCACUGGGGUCAUGGGAUCAGUGGGAUUUCUGGGAUGGAUG